rnacentral:tRNA from 1 species
AGCCUUAGAAGUAAUGUUACGCUAGAUUGCAAAUCUAGAAAAGCGGGUUAGCCGCCGGCCGGGGCUU